rnacentral:rRNA from 1 species
GUGAAGGAAAGGUGAAAAGGACCCCGGGAGGGGAGUGAAAGAGAACCUGAAACCCUGUGUUUACAAGCUGUGGAAGUUCUUUAAAUGAACAACCGCGUACUUUUUGUAGAACGGUCCGGCGAGUUGCGGAUACUGGCAAGGUUAAGCACUUAAGGUGCGGAGCCGAAGGGAUACCAAGUCUUAACAGGGCGUAAAGUCAGUAUACGCAGACCCGAAACCGGGUGAUCUAUCCAUGUCCAGGUUGAAGUUGUCGUAAAAGACAAUGGAGGACCGAAGCCACAUCCGUUGAAAAGGGUGGGCAUGAGGUGUGGAUAGGGGAGAAAUUCCAAUCGAACCCGGAGAUAGCUGGUUCUCCUCGAAAUAGCUUUAGGGCUAGCCUCGAUUUAGUCUUAUGGAGGUAGAGCACUGAAUUUCCGCGGGGGCGUCAAAGCUUACCAAAGAAUAUCAAACUCCGAAUGCCAUGUAGAUGAUGAUCGGGAGUCAGACUGCACGAGAUAAGUUGGGCAGUCAAAAGGGAAAGAGCCCAGACCACCGGCUAAGGUCCCAAAGUGCGUGUUAAGUGGAAAAGGAUGUGGGAAUUCGAAGACAACUAGGAUGUUGGCUCAGAAGCAGCCAUACAUUCAAAGAGUGCGUAACAGCUCACUAGUCGAGAGUUCCUGCGCCGAAAAUGUCCGGGGCUGAAACACGACACCGAAGCCGUGGACUCGCAAUGCGAGUGGUAGAGGAGCAUUCUUAAGACCGACGAAGCUGUACCGGAAGGAGCAGUGGAGGGAUAAGAAGAGAGAAUGCCGGAAUGAGUAGCGAGAGAAAGGUGGGAAUCCUUUCGGCUGAAUAUCUAAGGUUUCCAGAGUAAAGCUGAUCUGCUCUGGGUAAGUCGGGGCCUAAGCACAGGUCGCAAGACGUAAGCGAUGGAUAACAGGUUUAGAUUCCUGUACCACGCAUUAUCAGAACUGUAGGGACGCAUGUGGAAAGCACGAGCCGGGAAUGGAAAGACCGGUACAAGCGAGGUAGGUGUACAAUAGGCAAAUCCGUUGUAUGAUCCGAAGACGUGAUGUGGAGCGAAAUAAAGUAGCAAAGCGUGUGAGCCAUGUGCCGAGAAAAGCUGCUAUUGUGUAAUGCGUGCCCGUACCGUAAACCGACACAGGUGGAUGAGGAGAGAAUCCUAAGGCCGACGGAAGAAGCAUUGUUAAGGAAUUCGGCAAAAUGACCCCGUAACUUCGGGAGAAGGGGUGCCUGCGAGAGCAGGCCGCAGAGAAUAGGCUCAAGCAACUGUUUAGCAAAAACACAGGUCUAUGCGAAACCGAAAGGUGAAGUAUAUGGGCUGACGCCUGCCCGGUGCUGGAAGGUUAAGAGGAGAGGUUAGCGUAAGCGAAGCUUUGAAUUUAAGCCCCAGUAAACGGCGGCCGUAACGAUAACGGUCCUAAGGUAGCGAAAUUCCUUGUCGGGUAAGUUCCGACCCGC